AACAGAGCCCAGAGAGGUGCUGGAGACUCACUGCUCUGCUAGCGCCACCCUCGGAUAGUGUCAGUCUCGCACUGCAGCUCCAGAAUCUUAAGAUACGAAGCGGCGGAUAGCACACGGUCAGAAAACUACAAGAGCCAGGGAAGAGCUUAGACAACAGCUCGCUUAAGACGCAGUCCAGCACAAGCUCCCAGCCUGAGAGCUCUCAGGGUUCCUCGGCUGCCGUGCACUCCGCUGCAAAGUUUGCUGACCUG